GCCGGGGUGGCAGAGCGGACUAAUCCAACGGCUUACAAAAUUGCCGCGGAGUCCAAACGCGGCAGGCUCGAGACCUGUUUCCCCUAACGGGGUGCUUGGGUUCGAAUCCCAACCCCGGCG
rfam:Methanohalophilus mahii DSM 5219, complete genome.